rnacentral:rRNA from 1 species
UGCCUAACACAUGCAAGUCGAGCGCCCGUAGCAAUACGGGAGCGGCGCACGGGUGAGUAACGCGUGGGAACCUGCCCUUAGGUUCGGGACAACCGCGGGAAACUGCGGCUGAUACCGGAUGAUGCCUUCGGGCCAAAGAUUUAUCGCCUUUGGAGGGGCCCGCGUCGGAUUAGGUAGUUGGUGAGGUAACGGCUCACCAAGCCUGCGAUCCGUAGCUGGUCUGAGAGGAUGAUCAGCCACACUGGGACUGAGACACGGCCCAGACUCCUACGGGAGGCAGCAGUGGGGAGUAUUGGACAAUGGGGGCAACCCUGAUCCAGCAAUGCCGCGUGGGUGAUGAAGGCCUUCGGGUUGUAAAGCCC